GCCAGGCAUGGUAGCUCAUGCCUGUAAUCCCAGCACUUUGGGAGGCCGAGACGGGCGGAUCACCUGAGGUCAGGAGUUCAAGACCAGCCUGGCCAACAUGGUGAAACCCCGUCUCUA
rnacentral:SRP_RNA from 2 species